GCACUACUGAAGAGUCCCAAAAUAGGACGAAACGGCUGUCCAGUAC
rnacentral:hammerhead_ribozyme from 1 species